rnacentral:rRNA from 1 species
UACGGAGGGUGCAAGCGUUAUCCGGAUUUACUGGGUUUAAAGGGUGUGUAGGCGGGCCUUUAAGUCUGGGGUGAAAUCUCCGAGCUCAACUCGGAAACUGCCCUGGAUACUAUUGGUCUUGAAUUAUGUUGAGGUUGGCGGAAUAUAACAUGUAGCGGUGAAAUGCAUAGAUAUGACAUAGAACACCAAUUGCGAAGGCAGCUCACUACACAAUCAUUGACUCUGAGGCACGAAAGCGUGGGGAUCAAACAGG